rnacentral:rRNA from 1 species
UACGAGGGGAGCAAGCGUUGUUCGGAUUUACUGGGCGUAAAGGGCGCGUAGGCGGCGUGUCAAGUCACUUGUGAAAUCUCCGGGCUUAACCCGGAACGGUCAAGUGAAACUGUCGUGCUAGAGUACAGAAGGGGCAACUGGAAUUCUCGGUGUAGCGGUGAAAUGCGUAGAUAUCGAGAGGAACACCUGCGGCGAAGGCGGGUUGCUGGGCUGAUACUGACGCUGAGGCGCGAAAGCCAGGGGAGCGAACGGG